AGUGGCGGACGGGUGAGUAACGCGUAAGAAUCUAACUUCAGGACGGGGACAACAGUGGGAAACGACUGCUAAUACCCGAUGUGCCGCGAGGUGAAACCUAAUUGGCCUGAAGAAGAGCUUGCGUCUGAUUAGCUAGUUGGUGGGGUAAGAGCCUACCAAGGCGACGAUCAGUAGCUGGUCUGAGAGGAUGAGCAGCCACACUGGGACUGAGACACGGCCCAGACUCCUACGGGAGGCAGCAGUGGGGAAUUUUCCGCAAUGGGCGAAAGCCUGACGGAGCAACGCCGCGUGAGGGAGGAAGGUCUUUGGAUUGUAAACCUCUUUUCUCAAGGAAGAAGUUCUGACGGUACUUGAGGAAUCAGCCUCGGCUAACUCCGUGCCAGCAGCCGCGGUAAUACGGGGGAGGCAAGCGUUAUCCGGAAUUAUUGGGCGCAAAGCGUCCGCAGGUGGUCAGCCAAGUCUGCCGUCAAAUCAGGUUGCUUAACGACCUAAAGGCGGUGGAAACUGGCAGACUAGAGAGCAGUAGGGGUAGCAGGAAUUCCCAGUGUAGCGGUGAAAUGCGUAGAGAUUGGGAAGAACAUCGGUGGCGAAAGCGUGCUACUGGGCUGUAUCUGACACUCAGGGACGAAAGCUAGGGGAGCGAAAGGGAUUAGAUACCCCUGUAGUCCUAGCCGUAAACGAUGGAUACUAGGCGUGGCUU
rnacentral:rRNA from 1 species